CACUGCUCAGACCAACCCUCGUUACCAGCAGGCACAGGAGGGUACUGCUUAAUUGCAGCUCACACAAGCAGGCUUGAAGUGACAACUGAAAGACCCAGGCUGCAGUGGUGAAUGAUUAGAAAACCACUCUGUUUAACUGCUGUGGCUGGAAAGAUUUUCAUCCAUGCUAAAUACCACUGGACAACAUCAACUCACAGCUGCUCAGCAACAAUGAAAACAAAGUGAGCUCUAACUUUCUGAAAUGACCCUUACCCGUGCUAAAAGGGUAAAACCAGCAUCUGUGAGCUGAGAACAUCUUGCAGCUUCCAAAAUCCUGAAAAAGUUGGAAAUGGUAAAGCAGAACAUUAAUACAGGGGAAAGCAAGUG